UAUGUAGGGUGCAAGCGUUAAUCGGAAUUACUGGGCGUAAAGCGUGCGCAGGCGGUUAUGUAAGUCAGAUGUGAAAUGCCCGGGCUUAACCUGGGAACUGCAUUUGUGACUGCAUGGCUAGAGUUUGGCAGAGGGGGGUAGAAUUCCACGUGUAGCAGUGAAAUGCGUAGAUAUGUGGAGGAACACCGAUGGCGAAGGCAGCCCCCUGGGUCAAGACUGACGCUCAUGCACGAAAGCGUGGGGAGCAAACAGG
rnacentral:rRNA from 1 species